GCCGAGAUGGUGGAACUGGCAGACACGCAGGCCUUAGGAGUCUGUGACUCAGGUCGUGCGGGUUCAAAUCCCGCUCUCGGCACCA
rnacentral:tRNA from 1 species